UCUUUUCUUUUCUUUUCUUUUUUCUUUUCUUUUUUAAGUAGGCUCCACACCCAAUAUGGAGCCCAAUGCAGGGCUUGAACCCACAACCUGGAGAUCAAGACCUGAGCUGAGAUCACCAAUUGGAUGCUUAAUGGACUGAGCCACCCAGACAGCGUGCUGGGCACAGGCAGAGACAAAUGUCAAGGACACCGACACAGUCCUAAGAGAUCAAGAAGUAGAAAUGCAUCAUGUUUACAAUGAUCAAAUAUAAAUGAGAAGUCUGUGUGCCUGACAGUGAAUGGCAUUAUCCAUUGGUCCAGAGGGGAACAGCAGGACCAGGCACUCCUCUUCAGAUCCCCAGGCCUCACCGAUCGGAACCAGGUCUUGUAUUUGCAGUUCAAAUGUUACAUUAUGUUAAAAAGUGCCAAAACUGGGGCACCUGGGUGGCUCAAUCGGUUAAGCAUCCGACUCUUGGUUUCAGCUGGGAUCAUGAUCUUGAGGUUUGUGACUUCCAGCCCUUCACUGCACUCUGUGCCAACUGUGCAGAUCCUGAACAGUUCUCUCUCUCUGCCCCUCGCUUGUAUGCUCUCUCAAAAUAAAGAAGCAAACUUUAAAAAAGUGUCAAAAUUAUUAUGUUAGUGAUUGAUAUGAAAAAGUUGCUUUUAGGUAGCAUCCCUUACUUUAGUUAGGAAAGUACAUUUUGGGAGCUGGAUCUUAUGAUAGAUUGGAUUAUUGUUCUCUGCUCAUAACUGCUCCCUGUUGUGGAAUUAUACAGAAGCACAUUUUGCCAUGUGACAACAGUACCUCCCACUAGAGUAAAUGAAGAAUGUUUAUCAAAGUAAAUAAAUGUGGUGACUACCAGGUGAAUACAUAUUUUAUUCAUCAUUAUAUUUGGUAAAACAACAACAACAACAAAAGACAAACAAAAAAAUUAUCCCACUUGAGACAGGUAAUAUGUAUACAAAUUUCAGAAAUAUUGUAUUUUGAAAUAAGAGAGAUUUCUUUAUUGUUACAGAAGUUAAAAAUAAUUAAAUAUUUUUAAAUAAUACACGAUCAAAUUGGCAUAUAGAUUCUUGCCAGAUUUGUUUCUUCCCAGAGGGUCCAUGUAUAAC